UGGGGAAUAUUGCACAAUGGGCGCAAGCCUGAUGCAGCGACGCCGCGUGAGGGAUGGAGGCCUUCGGGUUGUAAACCUCUUUCGCCAGUGAAGCAGGCCAUCUUCUUUGUGGGGUGGUUGACGGUAGCUGGAUAAGAAGCGCCGGCUAACUACGUGCCAGCAGCCGCGGUAAUACGUAGGCGCGAGCGUUGUCCGGAAUUAUUGGGCGUAAAGAGCUCGUAGGCGGCUGGUCGCGUCUGUCGUGAAAUCCCCUGGCUUAACUGGGGGCUUGCGGUGGGUACGGGCCGGCUUGAGUGCGGUAGGGGAGACUGGAAUUCCUGGUGUAGCGGUGGAAUGCGCAGAUAUCAGGAGGAACACCGGUGGCGAAGGCGGGUCUCUGGGCCGUUACUGACGCUGAGGAGCGAAAGCGUGGGGAGCGAACAGG
rnacentral:rRNA from 1 species